rnacentral:rRNA from 1 species
UACGGAGGGGGCUAGCGUUGUUCGGAAUUACUGGGCGUAAAGCGCACGUAGGCGGCUUUGUAAGUUAGAGGUGAAAGCCUGGAGCUCAACUCCAGAAUUGCCUUUAAGACUGCAUCGCUUGAACACGGGGAGAGGUGAGUGGAAUUCCGAGUGUAGAGGUGAAAUUCGUAGAUAUUAGGAAGAACACCGGUGGCGAAGGCGGCCCACUGGUCCGGUACUGACGCUGAGGUGCGAAAGCGUGGGGAGGCAAACAGGA